rnacentral:rRNA from 1 species
GAUGGGCCCGCGGCCUAUCAGCUAGUUGGUGAGGUAAUGGCUCACCAAGGCUAAGACGGGUAGCUGGUCUGAGAGGAUGGUCAGCCACACUGGAACUGAGACACUGUCCAGACACCUACGGGUGGCUGCAGUCGAGAAUCUUUCGCAAUGGGGGAAACCCUGACGACGCGACGCCGCGUGGAGGAUGAAGGCCUUCGGGUUGUAAACUCCUGUCAGCAGGGGAGAACAAGCUUUUGGUGAAUAAUCAAGAGCUUUAACAGUACCUGCAGAGGAAGCCACGGCUAACUCUGUGCCAGCAGCCGCGGUAAUACAGAGGUGGCAAGCGUUGUUCGGAUUUAUUGGGCGUAAAGGGUCCGUAGGCGGCCUGAAAAGUUGGAUGUGAAAUCCCACAGCUUAACUGUGGAACUGCAUUCAAAACUUUCAGGCUCGAGUGUGAUAGGGGUAAAGGGAAUUCCCGGUGUAAGGGUGAAAUCUGCAGAGAUCGGGAGGAACACCAGUCGCGAAGGCGCUUUACUGGAUCACUACUGACGCUGAGGGACGAAAGCCAGGGGAGCAAACGGGAUUAGAUACCCCGGUAGUCCUGGCCGUAAA